GUGCUCACUUCAGCAGCAUAUAUACUAAAAUUGGAAUGAUAGAGAAGAUUAGCAUGGCCUCAGCACAAGGAUGCUACGCAGAUUCAUGAAGCAUUCCAUGUUUUU